rnacentral:misc_RNA from 1 species
UCUCCGUUGGUGAACCAGCGGAGGGAUCAUUACAGAGUUUUCACAACUCCCAACCCUUGCGAACCGUACCCAUUCUGUUCUCGUUGCUUCCGGCCGGCGUGACGGGGGGGCCCGAAACGGCCUCCCCGCCCCGCCCGCCGGGGGCGGCGGGCCCUACGAACCUUUAAAUCUCAAACACCACAAACCGCCUCAGAAAACAAACAAAAUAAUCAAAACUAUCAACAACGGAUCUCUUGGACCUGGCAUCGAUGAAGAACGCACCAGACCGGAAGAGCAAAC